AGACCUAGCUGCUAUAGAAGCUCCAUCUAUCAAUGGCUAAGACCCCCCAGUCUUAGUGUAUAGGAGUUAUUGAAAAAUAAGGGAGCAAUACCACCUUCUUGUUCUAUCAAGAGGGCAGUAUUGCUCCUUUAUUUUCUUUUUAUUUGUUACAUUAUCAAAAAUUUAAAUAUCUCAGAAAAUAAAUGGUCGAAACAAUAUUCUAAAUAAAAUAGAAUUUCAAUUUUAAAUUAAAUUUCUUAUUCUUAAUAAUUAAAUUUCUUAUUCUUAAUAUUAACCUAAAUAUAUUAAUAUAAAAAUAUAUUAAUAUUAAUUAAUAUUAAUAUAAAUAGAAGAAAUAAAUAUAAAGAGUAUAAAGAGAGCGAGGGGGCGGAUGUAGCCAAGUGG
rnacentral:misc_RNA from 1 species